CAGGAACUUGUGCAAACUGUGAGUUAUGGGGGCAACUACCUUCCCACGAAAGAAGGGCUGAUUGCUCCAGUCUUUCAGGAGAGGCUUCUGGCACUUGGAAAGUGGCUGAGCAUUAAUAGAGAGGCCAUUUACGAAUCAAAGCCGUAGAGGGUCCAAAAGGAAAAUACCAGCGACAGCACUUGGUACACUUCAAAGGAAGCAAAGGUAUACGCUAUCUUCUUCACCUGACCAGAAGGCAACUUGUUGAAGCUUUCGUCGCCUGUCCCAUCUGCCAGCACUCAAGUGACUAUGUUGGGGGUCUCUGUUCCAUUGAAAUGGCAGGCAUUACCAGACAAAGGACUUCAAGUCGCUCUGCCCUUCACAGUCCCUUCACUUCUCCCUCUGCAGUAUGGCUGGACUCUCAAGCUAGUUGGUAUAGCGUGAUGGCAAAGCUGGAGGAGAAUCAAGAUGCUCAUGUUUUCUGUCUCUCGGAGAUGAGAUGUUGAUGCUUCUGUGAUUAGGAGCAUGAACAGGGUAGGAAUAAAGUGGGCCUAAACAAUCAUGGUUGAAUGAAGCAAAACUUUGGCAUGUUAAUGGUCUAAUCAGGACAGAGGGAAGAUUUUUUUCCAGCAGAAUUUUACUCACUUCAAACACACAUCCAAAACUCUGCUGUAAUAUUUUAAAUAUCAUGGAAUGAGAACCACCUCCAGAGACUUCAGGAGAAUUAUCCUGGACUGAUGUGAAUUUAUCAAAUGGGACAGAAUAGCAGCUGCUGAAGGGGUGCAGGUCAUCCCAGGGUUGUUACU